rnacentral:snoRNA from 1 species
ACCAUCAUGUGAUGAAAAGUUGGAAAAAUCUUAGGACACCUUCCUACACAGUUAUCUAUUGCUGUGGAUGAGAAUAAUAAUUCCAUUCUGAUGAUGAU